rnacentral:rRNA from 1 species
UACGGAGAACUCAAGCGUUACCCGGAAUCACUGGGCGUAAAGCGUUGCGUAGGUGGUUUUGCAAGUCGGAUCUUAAAUGCCAAGGCUCAAUCUUGGAAAUGGGUACGAUACUACAAAACUGGAGGAUGGUAGAGGUGAGUGGAAUUGCUGGUGUAGGAGUGAAAUCCGUAGAUAUCAGCAGGAACACCAAUGGCGAAGGCAGCUCACUGGGCCAUUCCUGACACUGAGGCACGAAAGCGUAGGGAGCGAACCGG